rnacentral:misc_RNA from 1 species
CGCACUCGCUCGGCUGAUGUCUCGAUCCCUGCUGCUCAAGCGUUACGGCGUGACGCUCGCCAGCGCGAGGUCGAGCCUGCUCGAAGGGCUCAGGGAACGCGACCAGCUCGUCGUCGCGCUCGACGGCGGUGAGCCGCUCGGACUGGCGUGGGUCAUCACGACGCGGGCGCUCGAUCGCGCGGCUUACCUCCGCCUCCUCCUCGUGGCUGAGGGACAGCAGUCGCGUGGCCUCGGCGCCUCCCUGUUAGCGGACGCGGAACGCAGGUCCCGCGCAUCCGGCUGCCGUCAUCUCGUUCUUCUGGUGACGACGGCGAAUCGGCGCGCGCGGACCUUCUACGCCCGACAUGGCUACCGGCACGUGGGGAAUCUUCCAGGCUUCGUCCGG